rnacentral:rRNA from 1 species
GCUAACUAUCAAGCCUAUAAACUACUUAGUUGCUUCCCCCAACCACCAUAAAAUAAAACAUUUUACUGUUUAAGUAGAGGCGAUUAAAAAAACUCUAAGAGCUUCAACCCUAGUACCGCAAGGGAAAGAUGAAAUAUUAUGAAAUAAAAUAAAGCACAAUAUAGUAGAGAUUAAUACUCGUACCUUUUGCAUCAUGGUCUAGCAAGUCAUUAUCAAGCAAAGAGCCCCUCAAGUUUGAUUUCCCGAAACUAGGCGAGCUACUUCAAAACAGCAUCUAGAGCCAACCCGUCUCUGUGGCAAAAGAGUGGGAAGAUUUUCAAGUAGUGGUGAUAAGCCUACCGAGCCUAGAGAUAGCUGGUUAUUCAAGAAAAGAAUUUUAGUUCUACCUUAAGCUUAAAUAUGAACACAAACAAAAUAUUGUACUUAAGAGCUAUUCAAAUAAGGCACAGCUUAUUUGAAAAAGGUUACAACCUAGACUUUAGGGUAAAAUAUAAUAAACUUAAUAAAGUGGGCCUAAAAGCAGCCACCUUUCAAAAAGCGUUAAAGCUUCACUUUUGAUUUAUAAAAUCCCACCUAUCACCAUCAACCCAUCACCAGUAUUGAAUAACUUCAUAAAUUAUGAAAAUUACCAUGCUAGAACUAGUAACAAGAAAAUGCUAUUUCUCCAAAGUGUAAACAUAAACCAAAAUGGACAACCCAUUGGUACCUAACGAUUCUGAACCAACUAUAGCAAACACCUAGAAAACCCUAUAUUUAAUAUCGUUAACCUUACACAAGAACUCUUCUGGAAAGAUUAAAAGGGGUAAGAAGGAACUCGGCAAACUCUAACCCCGCCUGUUUACCAAAAACAUCGCCUCUUGCUAAGACAUAAGAGGUCUAGCCUGCCCAGUGUUUUAAUCAACGGCCGCGUGAUUUAAGCGCGCGAAGGUAGCAUAAUCAUUUGUCCUUUAAAUGGGGACUCGUAUCAAUGGCAUCACGAGGGUUAUACUGUCUCCUUUCCCCAAUCAGUGAAACUAAUCCCCCUGUGAAAAAGCAGGAAUGAAACUAUAAGACGAGAAGACCCCAUGGAGCUUAAAACAUGACAACAACCCUAAUAAUAUCACCAAUAUAAUUUUAAGCCCUGUAUGUUAGUUUUAGGUUGGGGUGACCGCGGAAUAAAGCAAAACUUCCACAACGUAAAGGGUUUACAUCCUUACUUAAGAGAUACCUCUCUAAAAAUUAUUAACAUAACGUCCAAUGACCCGACCAUCGAUCAACGGACCAAGUUACCCUGGGGAUAACAGCGCAAUCCAUUUUAAGAGCUCCUAUCGACAAAUGGGCUUACGACCUCGAUGUUGGAUCAGGAUAUCCAAGUGGUGCAGCCGCUACUAAAGGUUUGUUUGUUCAACAAUUAAAAUC